AUACGGAGGGUGCAAGCGUUACUCGGAAUCACUGGGCGUAAAGCGCGCGCAGGCGGUCUUUUAAGUUGGAUGUGAAAGCCUACAGCUCAACUGUAGAACUGCAUCCAAAACUAUUAGACUAGAGUCUGGGAGGGGAAGAUGGAAUUAGUUGUGUAGGGGUAAAAUCCGUAGAGGUAACUAGGAAUACCAAAAGCGAAGGCGAUCUUCUGGAACAGUACUGACGCUGAGGCGCGAAAGCGUGGGGAGCAAACAGGAUUAGAAACCCCUGUAGUCC
rnacentral:rRNA from 1 species